rnacentral:lncRNA from 1 species
AUGCCUGUUUUCCUCAGCUUGCCCGUUCCCGCUUUCUCCUCCGAGUGUUUGGGCUGGAGAAUGGCAUCGUGCUCCUUUUCUGCUAUCAGUUGUUUGUUGACGCUGCUGCUUUCACUCCUUCUUCCCAGAGCCCACAAAAACCCGGUGGAGAAUUUCUGGCGAGGCUUUAACAAUCUUCUGUUUGGAGUUUCUGUUUUUCUGUUACGACUGGAAGCUGUACCAGAGCAAAACGGGCACGGAGAACGGAAGCAUCGGCAGAGGGAGAACCAGCCAAGCUCUUCGAACAUCCCUCCUGCGCUCGCUCCGAAGAUGCUGGAACCAAUAAUGCAAAGGAUGGGAAGUACCACACAGCCAAGCCAAGCGUUUGCCUCCGACAGAGCACAACCUCCAGGAAGCAGAAAGAAAUGCUGCGUGACCACGCACACAAAUACCAUUUGCAGCUCCCGCGCUGUGCUAACCCAGUUCCAGUUUAGCAGCAGAGGGAAUCUCUGUCACGUUUUGCAUAGGAAAAAAAUUAACAGCGAGGAGCCACGGUGCCCUCCUGCCAGCUCCAGGGCAGCCGGUGCACCCAGCUCCCCUUUGUGCUGGAGCUGCAGCACGGCUGCAUUGAGUGCAGACGAGGCAACGAAGACUUGUUUCCAGUUAGCAGUGGGCUCUUGGCAGGUCACUUGACUUCUGGCUCGUAUUCUGUGUAAGUGGAUACAAUAAAAUUAAAGAGCGAGUAUAAACAAAGAGAGUUUAU